AAACUUUACAAUGCAGGAAACUGUGAUAAGGGAACCCCGAGUGCCCGUACACGCGGGCUGUCCCGGUGUUUAAAACACAUCGGAAGAAAGGGCCGGGCAAGACCGGUGCCAGCCGCCGCGGUAAUACCGGCGGCUCGAGUGGUGACCACUUUUAUUGGGCUUAAAGCGUUCGUAGCUUGAUUUUUAAGUCUCUUGGGAAAUCUCACGGCUUAACUGUGAGGCGUCUAAGAGAUACUGGGAAUCUAGGGACCGGGAGAGGUAAGAGGUACUUCAGGGGUAGAAGUGAAAUUCUGUAAUCCUUGAGGGACCACCGAUGGCGAAGGCAUCUUACCAGAACGGCUUCGACAGUGAGGAACGAAAGCUGGGGGAGCGAACGGGAUUAGAUACCCCGGUAGUCCCAGCCGUAAACUAUGCGCGUUAGGUGUGCCUGUAACUACGAGUUACCGGGGUGCCGAAGUGAAAACGUGAAACGUGCCGCCUGGGAAGUACGGUCGCAAGGCUGAAACUUAAAGGAAGU
rnacentral:rRNA from 1 species